GACGAACGCUGGCGGCGUGCUUAACACAUGCAAGUCGAACGGAAAGGCCCUGCUUUUGUGGGGUGCUCGAGUGGCGAACGGGUGAGUAACACGUGAGUAACCUGCCCUUGACUUUGGGAUAACUUCAGGAAACUGGGGCUAAUACCGGAUAGGAGCUCCUGCUGCAUGGUGGGGGUUGGAAAGUUUCGGCGGUUGGGGAUGGACUCGCGGCUUAUCAGCUUGUUGGUGGGGUAGUGGCUUACCAAGGCUUUGACGGGUAGCCGGCCUGAGAGGGUGACCGGCCACAUUGGGGCUGAGAUGCGGCCCAGACUCCUACGGGAGGCAGCAGUGGGGAAUAUUGCGCAAUGGGCGGAAGCCUGAUGCAGCAACGCCGCGUGCGGGAUGACGGCCUUCGGGUUGUAAACCGCUUUCGCCUGUGACGAAGCGUGAGUGACGGUAAUGGGUAGAGAAGCACCGGCUAACUACGUG
rnacentral:rRNA from 1 species